rnacentral:rRNA from 1 species
AACGAACGCUGGCGGCAUGCCUAUCACAUGCAGGUCGAACGAGACCGUCGGGUCUAGUGGCGCACGGGUGCGUAACGCGUGGGAACCUGCCCUUAGGUUCGGAAUAACUCCCCGAAAGGGGUGCUAAUACCGGAUAAUGUCUUCGGACCAAAGAUUUAUGGCCUUUGGAUGGGCCCGCGUUGGAUUAGCUAGUUGGUAGGGUAAAAGCCUACCAAGGCGUCGAUCCAUAGCUGGUCUGAGAGGAUGAUCAGCCACACUGGGACUGAGACACGGCCCAGACUCCUACGGGAGGCAGCAGUGGGGAAUAUUGGACAAUGGGCGAAAGCCUGAUCCAGCAAUGCCGCGUGAGUGAUGAAGGCCUUAGGGUUGUAAAGCUCUUUUACCCGGGAUGAUAAUGACAGUACCGGGAGAAUAAGCUCCGGCUAACUCCGUG